CUUAAGAAGCCUCUGGUGUUACAUUCAGCUGUUUUAUUUUGAUGCAGUAUAAGUUUUAUGUUGAUGGGGAAUGGAGGCACGAUGAGCACCAACCAUUUGUAAACGGAAACGGCGGAGGGAUGAAUACGAUACUUAUCACUCUACCAGAUAUGGUUCCCACUGGUUUUAGCCCAUCGAACGGAAACGGCGGAGUGAUGAAUACGAUACUUAUCACUCUACCAGAUAUGGUUCCCACUGGUUUUAGCCCAUCGAGCAUGGAUGUGGAUGAUUUCUCUCAUCGAAU
rnacentral:lncRNA from 1 species